rnacentral:rRNA from 1 species
UACGUAGGGGGCAAGCGUUGUCCGGAUUUAUUGGGCGUAAAGAGCGUGUAGGCGGUCUGUUGCGUCGGGAGUGAAAACUCAGGGCUUAACCCUGAGCCUGCUUCCGAUACGGGCAGACUAGAGGUAUGCAGGGGAGAACGGAAUUCCUGGUGUAGCGGUGAAAUGCGCAGAUAUCGUGGAGAACACCCGUGGCGAAGGCGGGCUUCUGGCUAAUUACUGACGCUGAGGUGCGAAAGCUAGGGGAGCGAACGGG